rnacentral:misc_RNA from 1 species
UACGGAGGCCCCGAGCGUUACUCGGAUUCACUGGGCGUAAAGGGUGCGUAGGCGGCCGUGUGUGUCAGGUGUGAAAGCCCAAGGCUUAACCUUGGAACUGCAUCUGAAACUACACGGCUAGAGUAUUGGAGGGGUGAGUGGAAUUCCUGGUGUAGCGGUGAAAUGCGUAGAUAUCAGGAGGAACACCUAAGGCGAAGGCAACUCACUGGACAAUUACUGACGCUGAGGCACGAAAGCGUGGGGAGCGAAAGGG